GAUUAAGUUAUUAAGGGCGCACGGUGGAUGCCUUGGCACUAGAAGCCGAAGAAGGACGUUACUAACGACGAUAUGCUUUGGGUAGCUGUAAGUAAGCGUUGAUCCAGAGAUUUCCGAAUGGGGGAACCCAACAUGAGUUAUGUCAUGUUAUCGACAUGUGAAUUCAUAGCAUGUCAGAAGGCAGACCCGGAGAACUGAAACAUCUUAGUACCCGGAGGAAGAGAAAGAAAAAUCGAUUCCCUGAGUAGCGGCGAGCGAAACGGGAAGAGCCCAAACCAACAAGCUUGCUUGUUGGGGUUGUAGGACACUCUAUACGGAGUUACAAAAGAACAUGUUAGACGAAUCAUCUGGAAAGAUGAAUCAAAGAAGGUAAUAAUCCUGUAGUCGAAAACAUAUUCUCUCUUGAGUGGAUCCUGAGUACGACGGAGCACGUGAAAUUCCGUCGGAAUCUAGGAGGACCAUCUCCUAAGGCUAAAUACUCUCUAGUGACCGAUAGUGAACCAGUACCGUGAGGGAAAGGUGAAAAGUACCCCGGAAGGGGAGUGAAAGAGAACUUGAAACCGUGUGCUUACAAGUAGUCAGAGCCCGUUUAUGGGUGAUGGCGUGCCUUUUGUAGAAUGAACCGGCGAGUUACGAUCUGAUGCAAGGUUAAGCAGCGAAUGUGGAGCCGUAGCGAAAGCGAGUCUGAAUAGGGCGUUGAGUAUUUGGUCGUAGACCCGAAACCAGGUGAUCUACCCUUGGUCAGGUUGAAGUUCAGGUAACACUGAAUGGAGGACCGAACCGACUUACGUUGAAAAGUGAGCGGAUGAACUGAGGGUAGCGGAGAAAUUCCAAUCGAACUUGGAGAUAGCUGGUUCUCUCCGAAAUAGCUUUAGGGCUAGCCUCAAGUGAUGAUUAUUGGAGGUAGAGCACUGUUUGGACGAGGGGCCCCUCUCGGGUUACCGAAUUCAGACAAACUCCGAAUGCCAAUCAAUUUAACUUGGGAGUCAGAACAUGGGUGAUAAGGUCCGUGUUCGAAAGGGAAACAGCCCAGACCACCAGCUAAGGUCCCAAAAUAUAUGUUAAGUGGAAAAGGAUGUGGCGUUGCCCAGACAACUAGGAUGUUGGCUUAGAAGCAGCCAUCAUUUAAAGAGUGCGUAAUAGCUCACUAGUCGAGUGACACUGCGCCGAAAAUGUACCGGGGCUAAACAUAUUACCGAAGCUGUGGAUUGUCCUUCGGACAAUGGUAGGAGAGCGUUCUAAGGGCGUUGAAGCAUGAUCGCAAGGACAUGUGGAGCGCUUAGAAGUGAGAAUGCCGGUGUGAGUAGCGAAAGACGGGUGAGAAUCCCGUCCACCGAUUGACUAAGGUUUCCAGAGGAAGGCUCGUCCGCUCUGGGUUAGUCGGGUCCUAAGCUGAGGCCGACAGGCGUAGGCGAUGGAUAACAGGUUGAUAUUCCUGUACCACCUAGUAUCGUUUUAAUCGAUGGGGGGACGCAGUAGGAUAGGCGAAGCGUGCUGUUGGAGUGCACGUCCAAGCAGUAAGGCUGAGUGUUAGGCAAAUCCGGCACUCGUUAGGCUGAGCUGUGAUGGGGAGAGGAAAUUGUUUCCU
rnacentral:rRNA from 1 species